rnacentral:lncRNA from 1 species
GAGGCGUCUGAACCCUAGGCGUUAAUAGACUGAAGGAAAAAAAAACAUCAUGUUACUACCCCAAAAGUACGUCAUGAGAGGGGGGUUGGCUUCGACUUAGAAAUAAUUAUUUCUCACGCCUUAGAAAUAGCAGAACCAAGGGAUCUGAUUACGGCACUGUGGCAUACCAUCGUCUAUAUAUCCAUAUCUACAUAAAAAAUACACAAACAAAAACACAACAAAGUCGAUCGAACUGUUUACGUGAUCGAUCGGGAAAUUCUUAUAUUUCUUAGGCGCCAGAGCCCUAGCUAGCAGAAUUGAAUAAAAAAAUUCAUCAUGUUACUACCUCGAGAAAAACAAAUAACCCAGUACUCUGGCCGGCGGCCACACUACUGAGCUCACAUCACUGUUUUCUACCACGUCGUCUUGACAUCCACGGUCUCUCGUGUUGCCUAUUAUACUAAAUCCCAAACCCUAGCUCCCCAGAUCCCUCAGCCCUCUCCUUUCGCUACGUCGCGGCGCUCAGUCACUCGGCCAUGCGGAUCCGUGACACCGCCCGCCGCGUGCUCGGCUCCGAGUACUUCGACGCGCUGUGCUCGCCUCCAGACCCU